GACGAACGCUGGCGGCGUGCCUAAUACAUGCAAGUCGAACGCAGUGGGGACGGGUGAGUAACACGUGGGUAACCUCCCAUCAGAGGGGAUAACACUUGGAAACAGGUGCUAAACCGAUACUGAUGGAUGAACCCGCGGUGCAUUAGCUAGUUGGUGAGGUAACGGCUCACCAAGGCGACGAUACAUAGCCGACCUGAGAGUGUGAUCUGCCACACUGGGACUGAGACACGGCCCAGACUCCUACGGGAGGCAGCAGUAGGGAAUAUUGCGCAAUGGGCGCAAGCCUGAUGGAGCCAUGCCGCGUGUAUGAAGAAGGCCUUCGGGUGGUAAAGAACUUUCAGCAGGGAAGCGGUACUCACAGAAGAAGCACCGGCUAACUCCGUGCCAGCAGCCGCGGUAAUAC
rnacentral:rRNA from 1 species